rnacentral:rRNA from 1 species
ACUCCUACGGGAGGCAGCAGUAGGGAAUAUUGGACAAUGGGGGCAACCCUGAUCCAGCCAUGCCGCGUGAAGGAAGACGGUCCUCUGGAUUGUAAACUUCUUUUAUGGGAGGAUAAACCCGUGCUAUAUGCACGGCUGAAGGUAUCCCAUGAAUAAGCACCGGCUAACUCCGUGCCAGCAGCCGUGGUAAUACGGAGGGUGCAAGCGUUGUCCGGAUUCAUUGGGUUUAAAGGGUGCGUAGGCGGAUUAGUAAGUCAGUGGUGAAAUCCUACAGCUUAACUGUAGAACUGCCAUUGAUACUGCUGGUCUUGAGUACGUCUGAGGUGGUUGGAAUGAGUGGUGUAGCGGUGAAAUGCAUAGAGAUCACUCAGAACACCGAUUGCGAAGGCAGAUCACUAAGACGUAACUGACGCUGAGGCACGAAAGCGUGGGGAGCGAACAGGAUUAGAUACCCUGGUAGUC